GGGACAAGGGGUCCAUCUUUUCAAAGUGUCUAAGUCGCAAACACCAAGGAAACGUCUCGGGUUAAAAUCCUUACUGUCGACGUUUUCAAUAAAUAACUUUGAAAGAUCGAAAAAUUCAUCUCCCAUUGCUACGAAGAUGCAUUGCUGAAAACUUGCACAGUUCUCGUCAUGAGAUAAAAUUGUUCCAGAGAAACAGAUAAGGGAGAAGAAACUUGUCAAAUAAAUACUUAUUGGCAUGACACACGUCAGAUUUUUGUUUAAGCGAUGCAACAGUUGGAAUCAAGCAAAAUCCAACUUGGCAACAACUCGGACCAAGCAAAUGUCAAGCUUUAUCAAUGCAUCCACUACGAUAAAAUUAGCUGAUAAAGAGACAGCGAUGGUUCAUUGUUGUAAUAAAACGUUUAUUCGGAGUUGGAAAAUGUAACAUCAGUGGUCUUAUCGACUUUCCUGCCAACAGGCCAACCAAGUGGAAGUGAAUGCACAAAACAAAAAGACAUGAGGGGGUGUAAACACUGCGGGAAAGUGUAUCGUAAAUUCACGUUAAGGGGCGGACUUUCCUUUGAUUUUUCCACGGGAUUUAUUUACGUUUUUCAGUCAUACCAUAACCGGCAAUAAACUAUUGGUCUUA